GGAAGGGUCGCAUAGUGGUCUAGUGCACCGCCUUGGAAAGGCGGCAUGCCCGCAAGGGUAUCGAGGGUUCGAAUCCCUCCCCUUCCG
rfam:Parcubacteria (Magasanikbacteria) bacterium GW2011_GWC2_45_8 TX20_C0031, whole genome shotgun sequence.